GGGGUUCCGGUUCACGCCUUUCCAGCAGGAGGGCGACCCGGCGGCC
rfam:Actinoplanes derwentensis strain DSM 43941 genome assembly, chromosome: I